rnacentral:rRNA from 1 species
AGUGAACGCUGGCGGUAGGCCUAACACAUGCAAGUCGAACGGCAGCACAGUAAGAGCUUGCUCUUACGGGUGGCGAGUGGCGGACGGGUGAGGAAUACAUCGGAAUCUACUUUUUCGUGGGGGAUAACGUAGGGAAACUUACGCUAAUACCGCAUACGACCUACGGGUGAAAGCAGGGGAUCUUCGGACCUUGCGCGAUUGAAUGAGCCGAUGUCGGAUUAGCUAGUUGGCGGGGUAAAGGCCCACCAAGGCGACGAUCCGUAGCUGGUCUGAGAGGAGGAUCAGCCACACGGGAACUGAGACACGGUCCAGACUCCUGCGGGAGGCAGCAGUGGGGAAUAUUGGACAAUGGGCGCAAGCCUGAUACAGCCAUACCGCGUGGGUGAAGAAGGCCUUCGGGUUGUAAAGCCAUUUUGUUGGGAAAGAAAAGCAGCAGGUUAAUACCCCGCUGUUCUGACGGUACCCAAAGAAUAAGCACCGGCUAACUUCGUG